AAGUUUAAAUAAUAAUUCAAAGCAGUAUACUUUUCUCUGUUUCCCCAAACCCCUUUUGCGGUUUUGGUGAAGAAGAAGAAGACACCGUUUCUGCGUGAGCAUCAAGCACAAGUACGAUCAUAUUUCUUUUGUGUUCUUCAUCACUCGAUCGCUUCACAACAAACAUUCAAUUCUCUAAUUUCACCGGUUGGGUUGUUCUCUGAAGUGUGUGUUCCGUACAAAACCAACUAAAGGUUUGAUGUUGAACUAAUAGUUGUUUGAUCACACAAAGAAAGCAGCUAGUUUAACGAUACAAAAUGGGUUCAGAAGGAAACGAUAGAGAGUUGGUGGUCUCACAAGUCAGUAUAGGUGGGUUCGGCAACGAAGUAACCGCAAAGAUGCUAUUGGAUUAUCUUGAAAGCACACAUGGUCAGAUCUAUAGAUGUAGGUUAAAAAAGUCUUCGACUCCACCCGAAACGUAUCCUGAAUUCAAUGCUGACCUUGACCAAAUCAAGAUCGUCACCGAUUACGAAAAGGUUGAACCGCAUGCAUUUGUGCAUUUUGUAGAUCCCAAUUCGGUCACCUCGGUUCUAGAGGCUGCAGGAAGAAAGGAGCUCGUACUUGACAAACAUGUUUUAAAAGUUAGUUUAGGCCCGGAAAAUCCUUAUAGAAUGAACCAACGCAGAAGAAAGAAAACGUCAUUUAAGCUGUCAAAUGUGGUUCUUGAAAUCGGGCUGAUGACUAGCCGGGAUGACUUUGUUGUUGGUUGGCGUGGGCCUGAUUCUGGCGUUGACUUUCUUAUUGACCCGUUUGACCGUAGCUGCAAGUUUCUGCUCACGAAAGACACGGCUUUUUGUUUCAAAGGGACCAAGGAUCACGCGGUUAUAAGAUGUAACUAUAAAGUUGAGUUUUUGGUGAGGGAUGUUAAUGAUAUUAAAGAGUAUACGGAUUACUCAGAGUCGUGUUUGGUGUUAGUUUUUCAGUUAGCAUCGUCUCCUUUGAUAUCUUAUAGAACUGCUGAUGAUGACAUUAUCAACACGUAUCCGUUUGAAAUGUUGGACGAUGAUGAUCCAUGGAUCCGGACCACUGAUUUCACGCCAAGUGGCGCCAUCGGGAGAUGUAAUACUUAUCGGGUUAUGAUCCGGAUUCGAGAUGGGUCGAAGGUGAAAAAAGCUUUAGAAUUUCUUAAAGAACAAAGGGUGCAUGUCGAGCAUCGUAAAACAAAACUCAAAGCGGAAAACGAACCCGAAUUUGGAUUCCCAAUUCCCGACCCGUUUUUCUCUAUUCAUUACAAACCAGACAUCUCUUUUAAAGUUAUGUUCUUGGUCAACUCAGUGUUACACAGAUGCAUCAUCAACCAGCAUCAAUUUACAGAAAAUGUCUUUGACUUACUAAGAGAUCAAUCCGAAGAAGUCAACGUGGCUGCUUUAAAGCACAUCUGUGCUUACCGACACCCUUUAUACGAUGGAUUUAAACGUUUGAAAACCGUUCAAGAAUGGUUGUUAAACACCCCGAAGCGUAUCGAGAAACCGUUGGAGCAAAAUGACGUGAUUGAAGUUGGGAGAUUAAUCAUAACUCCAACAAAAGCUUACGCUUUACCACCAGAAGUUGAAUUAUCAAACCGUGUUCUUCGCCAUUAUCGACAAGUAUCCGAUCGGUUUCUACGGGUCACAUUCAUGGACGAAGGAAUGAGAACUUUAAACAAUAAUGUUCUUAAUUUCUACCCUGCCCCAAUCGUUAAAGACGUCACUUCAACUUUUAUGGCACAAAAAACAACCAUGUUUAGGCGGGUAAAAGAUAUUUUGAGUAACGGGUUUCAUUUAUCGGGACGUCAAUAUUGUUUUUUGGCUUUUUCUGCAAACCAACUUCGGGAUCGGUCCGCAUGGUUUUUUGCUGAAAAUGGAAAGAUUUCGUGUAAAAAUAUCAUUGCAUGGAUGGGAAGGUUUAAUAAUAAAAAUAUCGCGAAAUGUGCUGCUAGAAUGGGGCAAUGUUUUUCAUCUACAUAUGCGACAGUUGAUGUUCCGAGACAUGAAGUUAAUAUGAAACUUGAAGAUAUUAAGAGAAAUAAUUACACGUUUUCCGAUGGAAUCGGGAGAAUUUCACCCGAACUAGCACUUGAAGUUGCUGAAAAAUUGCAAUUAACCGAUAACCAACCCUGCGCGUAUCAGAUUAGGUACGCGGGCUGUAAGGGUGUUGUUGCUUGUUGGCCUAAUAAAGAAGGCGAGAACUUUAAGCUUUCGUUAAGGCGAAGUAUGAAUAAGUUUGAAUCUGAUCAUACGGUUCUUGAAAUAUGUUCUUGGACGCGGUUACAACCCGGGUUUUUGAACCGGCAGAUUAUAACGUUACUCUCUGCUUUAGAUGUUAAAGAUGAAAUCUUUUGGGACAUGCAGAUGAAAAUGGUCGAAAAGUUGAAUUUAAUGCUAGAAAAUACCGAAGUGGCAUUUGAUGUAAUUACUGCUUCAUGUGCUGAAAGUGGUAACACGGCUUCGAUUAUGUUGGGUUCAGGUUUUGACCCGAAAACUGAACCGCACCUACGGGGUAUGUUAAGCAGUAUACGUGUCGCCCAACUCGAAGAUUUACGGGAAAAGUCGAGAAUUUUCGUGAAUGACGGAAGGUGGUUGAUGGGGUGUUUUGAUGAAUUGGGUGUUCUCGAACAGGGUCAGUGUUUUAUACAAGUAUCGAACCCGUCUGUCGAGAAUUGUUUUGCGAAACACGGGUCAAGGUUUAGUGAAACGACUAGUAAUUUGACUGUGAUUGAGGGUACUGUGAUAAUCGCAAAGAACCCGUGUCUCCAUCCUGGUGAUGUUCGGGUUUUGAAAGCGGUAAAUGUACCAGGUCUCGAACAUUUGUUUGAUUGUUUGAUAUUUCCUCAAAAGGGAGACCGGCCCCACACUGAUGAAGCUUCCGGAAGCGAUCUGGAUGGAGAUCUAUAUUUUGUUACGUGGGAUGAAAAUCUUAUACCGCCUAGUAAACGGAGUUGGCCCCCUAUGGAGUAUACUGCCGCUGAAGCUAAAGAAUUAACACGUGACGUCAGAACCGCGGAUAUUGUCGAUUUUUUCACAAAAAACAUGGUGAAUGACAGUCUUGGCACAAUAUGUAACGCACAUGUUGUGCAUGCUGACUUGAGCGAUGACGGAGCCCUCGAUGAAAAAUGCUUAAAAUUAGCUGAACUGGCGGCGACGGCUGUCGAUUUUCCAAAAACCGGGAAGAUCGUCAACAUGCCAGCUCAGCUCAAGCCAAAGCAGUAUCCUGAUUUCAUGGGGAAAGAAAAUUUUCAGAGUUACAAAUCGGAAAAAAUUCUCGGGAAAUUAUAUCGACAAAUUAAAGAUUUCUACAACAGCGACAACAACACACCGUGUUCGGAGCUUGAAAUCCUCCCUUCUGGUAUCCCGUACGAUGAAGAUCUUGAAGUUCCUGACUCUGCGAGUUUUUUAAACGAUGCAUGGGAUUGCAAAUUGAAAUACGACCUACAAUUAAACGGGCUUCUUGGGCAAUAUAAAGUGUCCCGUGAAGAAGAAAUUGUCACGGGUCAUAUCUGGUCAAUGCCUAAGCAUGGUAGCAAGAAGCAAGGUGAAAUGAAAGAUAGAAUCAAACAUGCUUAUAGUGCUUUAAGGAAGGAGUUCCGGAAGGUGUUUGACCAACUCGGUGUCGACUUUGACCAGAUCUCGGAGGAGGAGGAGAGAAAUGCGGUUUUCGAGAAAAAAGCGUCUGCGUGGUAUCAAGUCACAUAUCAUCCUAUUUGGGUCAAGAAAUCUUUAAAGUUGCAAGAACCUGAUCGGGAGGGCGAAACAGUAAACUUGAGCUUUGCAUGGAUUGCUGCUGAUUAUCUUGCAAGAAUUAAGAUCAAGCGUAAGGGAGCGGGACCCGGGAAUUCUCAUAAGCCGAUUGAUAUGCUUGGGCGGUACAUUGCUGAUCGUAUAUGACCGGUUUUGGUUAUUUGAAGUUUUUAGCUGCAGCAGGGCCACUCUGCCAUUUUCCAAGGGGAAUAUUUGGUACUUCUAUGAUUAAAGGAAGCAAGCCAAAACAUGAGCUGGAAACAGGACACACUCUAUUUUGAAUAUUAAUUUUAGUGGAUGAGUUUCCAUUCUUUAACCUUUUGUUUUGGAAUUUCUUUGUUUAGAGAUAUGUCAUAAGUUAUCUUCUUGUUACUUUUUUUUAUCUUAAUUAAUAUUUGUAUUUUUGGUUAC